UUAUGAAAUAAUGGGAAGGGGGGCCUUAAUGAGCAGAAAGCAUCCUCAGCUGGAGAUAAAUAUAUGCAAAUGAGAUGCACAAACAAAGGAGCCUGGACAGAGAAAUAUCUGCAAUUCUAGCAAAAUGCUGCCUGCAGCUCGAAGAUGAACAGCUUUGAUAAAAUGCGAGAAAUAUUCCUCAUGUGGGCGGAGGACUCAGGCACACGGGACCUGCAACAAGCAACGAGGCUAAAAAAUAGUUAAAAUGAAUCAACAUUUAUCUGGAAUCUACAGUCUUGACCUAAAAAAAAAAAAAUCAUUUAUCUUCCGUGUCCUGUGAUGUUUUGAGGAUUCUGGCAAAUAUGGCAGUUAAACAAACUUCUCUCAUAAUCUAAAUACUGUCUGUUCAAGAGAGGCUUCCAAUGUUUAUAGCCCAUAAGUAAAGAAAAAAAAAAAAAAAAAAAAACUGGUAUUUCACCAAGAACAGUGCUCUUGAAAAUGUCUCUGAACAAAGUGUUCAAGCAAAACUUUGACCGCAGAUAUUUUCAAUUCCUCAUUCUUCCUCUGAUUUUUUUUUUCAAUGAGGUAUUCUGAUAGUCUCUCCUUUCACUCCUUUUUCUUGAAAGUAAUGAAUGCAUUUCCAAAAAAUUAACGCCUGACUAGUGACCUGGUCAUACAAACUUCCUUGAGAAACAGUUGAGAAGAAAACAUCACAUUUUUAUGAACCCCGUCUCCUGCCAGGGGCCCCGGAGGAGGAACACCAUUAUGCAUUGUUAUCAGCGUGGUGUAAUUUGACUGUUGACAAAGUAUCCGUGGCAGUGAGAAUGAGCGCAGUUAGAAGUGUGGCGGAUUGUAAUCAAGAAGAUGCUUAGCUGUGCAACACUGCAUCUUGAGCAGAUUUGAAUCAACAUUGCCUUAAGGGGACACACACACAUACCAAAAGGAACAAAAAAAAAAAAUCCAUUAAUUUUUAGAGGGAAAAUUAGAGUGGCACUUGAUGAAGUGAAAUUUGACAUGCGUUAAUUGCUCUGCAGCUCCCCUAAUUAGAGAUUUUCAA
rnacentral:lncRNA from 1 species